GGGAGCAAACAGGAUUAGAUACCCUGGUAGUCCACGCCGUAAACGAUGUCGACUUGGAGGYUGUGCCCUUGAGGCGUGGCUUCCGGAGCUAACGCGUUAAGUCGACCGCCUGGGGAGUACGGCCGCAAGGUUAAAACUCAAAUGAAUUGACGGGGGCCCGCACAAGCGGUGGAGCAUGUGGUUUAAUUCGAUGCAACGCGAAGAACCUUACCUACUCUUGACAUCCAGAGAACUUUCCAGAGAUGGWUUGGUGCCUUCGGGAACUCUGAGACAGGUGCUGCAUGGCUGUCGUCAGCUCGUGUUGUGAAAUGUUGGGUUAAGUCCCGCAACGAGCGCAACCCUUAUCCUUUGUUGCCAGCGGUUMGGCCGGGAACUCAAAGGAGACUGCCAGUGAUAAACUGGAGGAAGGUGGGGAUGACGUCAAGUCAUCAUGGCCCUUACGAGUAGGGCUACACACGUGCUACAAUGGCGCAUACAAAGAGAAGCGACCUCGCGAGAGCAAGCGGACCUCAUAAAGUGCGUCGUAGUCCGGAUUGGAGUCUGCAACUCGACUCCAUGAAGUCGGAAUCGCUAGUAAUCGUAGAUCAGAAUGCUACGGUGAAUACGUUCCCGGGCCUUGUACACACCGCCCGUCACACCAUGGGAGUGGGUUGCAAAAGAAGUAGGUAGCUUAACCUUCGGGAGGGCGCUUACCACUUUGUGAUUCA
rnacentral:rRNA from 1 species